AAGACCUCGCGCUAUUGGAGCGGCCGAUGUCCGAUUAGCUAGUUGGUGGGGUAAUGGCCCACCAAGGCGACGAUCGGUAGCUGGUCUGAGAGGAUGAUCAGCCACACUGGGACUGAGACACGGCCCAGACUCCUACGGGAGGCAGCAGUGGGGAAUUUUGGACAAUGGGCGAAAGCCUGAUCCAGCCAUGCCGCGUGAGUGAAGAAGGCCUUCGGGUUGUAAAGCUCUUUCGGCCUGAACGAAAUCGCGCGAGCUAACACCUCGCGUGGAUGACGGUACCGGAAGAAGAAGCACCGGCUAACUACGUGCCAGCAGCCGCGGUAAUACGUAGGGUGCAGGCGUUAAUCGGAAUUACUGGGCGUAAAGCGUGCGCAGGCGGCUUCCUAAGUCAGAUGUGAAAUCCCCGGGCUCAACCUGGGAACU
rnacentral:rRNA from 1 species